GAUAAACGCUGGCGGCGUGCCUAACACAUGCAAGUCGAACGUCUGCCGUGUCUUCGGACGGGGCAGGAGUGGCGGACGGGUGAGGAACACGUGGAUAUCUACCUCCGGGUGGGGGAUACCACCGGGAAACCGGUGACAAGACCGCAUAGGGUUGGCUGCUCCUGUAUGGGAGCAGGCAAGCAAAGCUUCUCGCGAGAGAGGCGCCGGGAGAGGAGUCCGCGCCCGAUUAGCUUGUCGGUAGGGUAAAAGCCUACCGAGGCGACGAUCGGUAGCUGGU
rnacentral:rRNA from 1 species